rnacentral:tRNA from 1 species
GAGGGUAUAGCUCAGUAGUAGAGCUCAUGCUUGGCAUGCACGGGGUCCUGGGUUCAAUUCCCAGUACCUCCA